ACCUCGGUGGUGUAAUAGUAACGCGCGUCCUCGGUAUGGAUGAAACGCGGGUUCGAUUCCCGCCUGAGAUC